CAGAAACAGCAGGAUCAGAAGAGUGCAAUUCAUAUCAACAUUAAAAGCAGAACUGUGUGUGCACUUUAGCUUAAUCAAACAUUUUAAACAAACAGAGGAAGCCAAUGUAGAUAAUAGUUUGACAGCUCAUUUAUAUUUGAAUGGAUCUGAAUGUGACUAAUGUGCUGCAUCUACUAUUCAGACCUACACCACAUUGAGUAUCAUGUAUUUAAUAUUCUUGCUGAUUCACCUCAGUUUUGCCAUCUCAUCUCUGCUUGGCAUCUUACAUCCUUAAUUCCCGGACAAUUCAGUCAGAAUGAAUGAAGAUUUUUGAAAAACCAGAGCUGUUCAAACAUAUUUGUUGAUGACUGAACAGAUUUUAAACCCGCAACAGUACAGUACUACAGUAUCUAGUAUGUUUGGUAAUUAUCCAGUCAAACCACUAGGACUCAUUUGUUUAUCUACACAAACACACUGAGUUACUCAUUGCAUGAAGCAGUGAGCACUGAGUGUCUUCAAUGCAUUAAAUAAACCUAAUAGCUAUCAUGUGAGAUGUAAUGGCUUUUGAAAAACUAUGGCCAUCAAGGUGGAAGCCUGAGAGCAACAUGAUAACUUGAUGUAAUUAAAGCAGUGGACUUGGAAAAUAAAUAAACAGUAAAACAUCUAAUUGCUUACAGGCAAGUAUUUUAAUCUCGCCAUAGAAUUAGGACAAUAAAGAUUUAGUUUUGACCCUGCAAUGCUUAUGUAUCAAACAAAUUUAUCUCCCGUAAGUAUUGAGCUUGUCUGAAACUGAAUCCAAUCUUACCUUUUGUUUUGUAAGUAAACAUUACAUCUGUUAAACUGUGUACGAUGGCACGUCCACUAUCACAGUAGCAUCAACAAACACACAGAAAACAGACAUAGUUUAACAAGGAAUUAAGCUGCAGUCACCAACAAUGAACCACAGAGGGCUGAGAGUAUGCAGGUUUCGGCCAUCACUACACCUGCUGAUUUCCCUAAUUAAUUUAACCUCAUACUGCAGGGGCACUGAAUGAAAUCACCUGGUGUAAUGUUAGGAUAGCGGGAACACCUGCAUACCACUGGGCUUCCAUGGCAUAUAAUUGGAAACCAGAGAAGUACAAUGAAAUGUCCCCACACAGGGGCCCCAUGAUCCCCCCGUCAACAAAAGAGGCUAUCAGUGUGUUAACCUCAAGGAGGAGAAUGAUUAUAAAAGCUUUGUGUAACCAAAAAGUCUGCAGCUAAAAAAAAUGUGGACAUGACCAGGUAAAACAGCAAGCCAACAUAAGCUAAGAGUAUGUUACUUUAAAAUAACUUUCGUGAGCAUAUUUAUAUAUUAGUUGCUCAUUAUUCAAGGAACAGCUCUGACUCCUUCCAUAUCAAAAGGGACUGUGGACUGGCAGGAGAAAUCCUGACCCUGCAAAGAUCUGUGACCAAGAAUAGACCACAUACAGUACAUAUUAAGGCAUACAGACACUGAUGUGAACUAACUGUGGAUUUGUACUUUCAUCCAAAGAGGAGUGGAUGACAGCUGUACACUAACUCUGAAAGGCCAGUAACUGUCAAAUUUACUAGUUGCUUCUUUUGACAUUGUCACUAUCCACCUGCUAAUAGAUCCACUCGCUUCUGCUGCAAAAGCAAUGGGCCUGACAAGAACAGCUGCCAGGCACAAUAUGCCCCAAGACACCUCUCUCCACCAAGUAUACAAGAACGGAUUUGGAAAAUGGCUAGGCCCCAGUGUCAUUCAAAAGAGCACCAACAUUUAUGUGCAGUGCAACUUGACACAUGGUUACAAUGCAUGCUUCUGUGUUACAGGCCGUGGCGAGCCAAGUAAUGUCAGCUGACUGCGCUGCGCCGCACAGGCCAGGUAUUUGCAACGCAUGUCACUGCGCUAGCUAGGUUAGCUAGCAGCGCGAUUAGCUAACGGAUAACAUUAGAGUGAAUGAACGGUUAUCUUCUUCGGCCAAUAACUGAAGCAUCGAUCACUUAUAAAAUGGAAAACAACUCAAUCUGUACUCGUCCGCUCCAAACAGCACUGUCGUCCCUCUACAGCUAUGUCAUAACUUAACUUAUAAGCUAAUGAUUACUCAGCAAACUACUUAAUGAGCUUGGUGGUUACAGUGGCUAAGCUAGCGUUAGCCGUGUAUCUGGAGGAGCUGCAGUGGAGAUGUGGGUGAUGGUGACCGAGUAAAAUCACCUGCCUGCAACGAUACCGGCUACUGACUCCAUGACGUUGAGAUUAGGACUCUGUGGGGGCCAGGCCAUCUGAUGCAGGACUCAUUGAGGCUGAAGAUAGCUCUUCAAGACUCCGAUCAGAGGUCACCCUGAUGGCACUGAUAAUGAUGAUGGGUAAGAAUCUAAACAUCUAAGGUGCCUAAAUCUUUUGCACAAUACUGGACAUGUAAAAUCAUUCUUUGUGUUCCCAGCAGUAACAAUAGUACCAGUAACAGAAGUAACAUUUUUUCUCUUCUGUUUUAGUUGAUACACUGCUACCAUGUUAGUGAUCUUGAUGGUUUAGUGAAUGGUCUAUGACCUCUUGUGUGGCAUCAAGAGAAAGGGAGAGCUGUGAUGUAAUCACUUUUUCCCACCUUCUUGAGAUGCAAUCAAGAACAGGUGAUAAGCCAGUGAAAACACUCAAAUUUACCUAAAAAGGUUGAUCAAAGAUCACACAGUAAUCCACUGGUAAAUAGCUAGGUUUUAUUGGAUUAUCAGGCUCCACAGUCCAAUGUUCCCUUCAGAAUUUUGUUUUUGUAAAUGGUACAUAUUAUGAUCCAGGGACUGAGGAUUUCAUUUGUAAUCACAGCCAUCAUGAUGUGUUUGAUCCAGUCCAUUUAC